GACGUAGGAGGCAAGCGUUAUCCGGAGUUACUGGGCGUAAAGCGUUUGUAGGCGGUGCUGAGAGUCCUAGGUGAAAUCCCCGAGCUCAACUCGGGAACUGCCUCGGAGACCUCAGUACUAGAGUACUGAAGGGGUUACUGGAAUUCCAUGUGUAGCGGUGAAAUGCGUAGAUAUAUGGAGGAACACCUGUGGCGAAGGCGGGUAACUGGUCAGAGACUGACGCUGAGAAACGAAAGCGUGGGGAGCAAACAGG
rnacentral:rRNA from 1 species